GUCUCGUUGGUGUAGUUGGUUAUCACGUGGGUCUCAUAGCUCUAUUACUAUGACUGCUCGAAGUAGCAGACAUCCCAAGGCCGCCAGUUCGAGUCUGGCACGGGACA
rnacentral:tRNA from 1 species